rnacentral:rRNA from 1 species
CGUAGGUGCAAGCGUUAAUCGGAAUUACUGGCGUAAAGCGUGCGCAGGCGGUUUGUAAGUCUGUCGUGAAAUCCCCGGGCUCAACCUGGGAAUUGCGAUGGAGACUGCAAGGCUAGAAUCUGGCAGAGGGGUAGAAUUCCACGUGUAGCAGUGAAAUGCGUAGAGAUGUGGAGGAACACCGAUGGCGAAGGCAGCCCCCUGGGUCAAGAUUGACGCUCAUGCACGAAAGCGUGGGAGCAAACAGGAUU